CUCGCCGUUCCCCCCCCUUCUUAUUCCCAUGCCCAAAUUCGAACCCGGCGACGAGGACGAAGAAUGAGGGAUAGAUAGAUAGAUAGAUAGAUAAAUAUGGACCCGAUCGGAUUGCGAGCGCUAAACCCGAGGUGCUAUCCCGCCGGAUAUCUUCUUAUUCGCCCUCGCCCUCGCCCCCGCCCCCGCACAAUUCGCCGCUCCUGCGCCGUCUCGGAUACCGCGGGGAAUAAACCCUCGCCUGCUCCGAAACCCUACCACGCCUCUCCUUCAUCUGCAUCUUUUUCUGUUGGAGAAGGAGUUUCAAAUUCUUUUCCUAAUGGCUCCAGUAGUUCAGUCGGUGGGGUUCCAUCUGCCAAACUUCUUCAAGUAGUGUUAGUUUCUCCUCAGGGAAUACAGGAUCAAUUGCACGAACAUGUGCAGCAUCGGCUGUUGGCCUGCAUCUUGUCGGGGAUUCGAACUUGGGACCUUGGGUACCAACCACCAAGCCUUUUGCCACUUGCAUUAGAGACGCCAUUAGGGUAUAAAAUAGAAGAUUCCAAACUGAAGCGUGCUGGAUUGGAUUACUGGCCAUAUGUCGUUGUUAAGAUUCAUAGUUCAUGGGGUGAAUUCAUGGAAUAUUUCAAGCAGCAGGAUGGAGAUAAAAGGUUGUUGGCAUUUACCAAAAGAGGCUUAAGCAUCCAUUCAGACUUCUCGUACAGGCGAGGUGAUUGGCUAGUUUUUGGUUCGGAAACCCACGGGCUUCCGCCAGAAGCCCUGGAGGACUGCCGUAGAGAAGAAUUGGGUGGUGGAACCAUCCGUAUUCCAAUGGUUGAGACCUAUGUUCGUUGCCUUAACCUCUCCGUCAGUGUCGGCAUCGCUCUAUAUGAAGCAGCCAGGCAGCUGAACUAUGAACAGCUUCGGCUUCCCCCUCAAGCUGAAGCCGAAUGCCAAAGAUUAUUUUUGUCCGAGGAUAUCUACGGCUAAAUUUUUCACCUCGUUGACCUUCUGUUUGAAAUUUAAGCAGAUCAAGUGCAGUGGUAUGGCAUGGUGAUUGGUGAGGAGCAGCAGAUAAUGAUAUUUUAUCAUAUAAUUUACUCAAUGUAAAGCUUGGAAAGAAGAUUGCUGUUGUAGUUACUGACAUAGUUUUCUCUUUAGUGUGGCAGAUGAGGGUGGGGGCCAAAAUCAAUGUAGAGAAGAAAGAGGUGUCCACUUGAUUGUUAUCACCAACCCAACUGGAAAAUGCACCCCUUUGCAUUUUGCAGGAUGCUUGGUAUUUGGAAAGGAGUUCAUUUGCCUAUUUCCGCCCCAAUUUACAGAAUAGUUUCUCAAGUACACAUUGGUGUAGGGAGAACGGAAGGAGGGGAGUUAGUUCAUUAGCGGGGAAGGGCAGUUUCUUGGCCAUGAGAUCUGCGCAGAUCUUGAAGCAAAUCUGAUCUCCUAAUAGUAUUAUACAGGGCUGAUCAUGCUAGCCUAAUUAGAGCAAGUAUAAUCUUACUAUAAAAGAUAAAAACGAACAAAAUUAUGCUUCA